rnacentral:siRNA from 1 species
UAGAUUCAGUGGUUUGUUCUC